rnacentral:lncRNA from 1 species
GCAGCCCCUUCCAGCUGAGAUCCGGCAACUGAGUGGCGAAGGGCGUCUCCCUGGCCCUCGUCAUGGAAAGCAGGAGCCUACGGAGGCCUCACCUGGCCCACCAUGUCUGCGAUACAGCAAAGUGCACCCUUAGCUCAGCUUGACUUUCUUUUUAAAAAGAGCUCACGCUACUUGCAAAAGGCCCAUCAUCGAUUAAAACAAUACCAAAUAGUUGAAUACUGAAUACCAAAGAGUCGGAGCAAGUCUCGAGACCAUCUCUCUCAGUUUUCUGAAAAGGCUGACUGAAACAGAGCUGAGAGCAGGGAUACCUCGUCACUAGUCUGCCAAGUGGCGGAGGGGAGGGAAGGAAAGGCUUGUUGUCCUGCGAAAGGGCUGCCAGCUCCACGAGAGAAGGCAGCCUCACCCCCCUGUCCACCCUCAGAGCCCCGCGAGGGGUCCUGCCCCCUCCCCAGCGAGGACUCCGCGUGGAGAGAAGCCUGAGGGAGAAUGAACACUGUGAUGCUACCGAAGGGGAAGGAGUGUCUGAAUUUGCUAACACAGAUUUAGUCAGUACAUCCUGGACCAUAAGAAGAUGACGACGAGCCCGCUCACGGGCCAAGUGACAGACUAGUGAGCGCUGCUGGGACCCAGGCGCGGCUCCUCUGCUCGCCGGGGCUUCCUGCAAGGGCUCCACACGGAUGGGGCGGCCAGAGCCCAAGAUCGGGCCAGCACUGUUCGUGGGCUCUGGAAAGCAACGCUCGAACAGGUCCGUACGAAAAGAUGUCAUUUACAGUAUUUAUAUAGAAGAUCUCCAAGUAAGGAAAAAAGCACCAUUUUUACUUCAAAUAAAAAGGCUCACACAGGCUUUGGUCCUGUUUUGAGACGACACCGGCCUGAGCGAGAAGCGGUUUGGCCCUUGGGGAGCAGGGAGUCGGUACGCACGCUGUCACUGGGAGGAAGGGGCAUCAGGUGGCAGGGAUGGGCGGGGGGCAGCCGCCCAAGCAGGGCGAAGGGGGAACCUGGUGGGAAGGGCCUUGGGGAGCAGCCCCACAAAACGGGGACAGGAUGCCUGCUUCAAGAGCGGGCGUGUGGCACUGUCUGGACAAGCCUCUGGGACAGGCAGGCUGGCCAACAGAAAGAGCAGCAUUCAAACCGCGCCGCCACUCUGCGAGCACGCGAGGCCUGUCAACUGCAGAGCAAGGCUUCCACGAGCAGCAAAGACAUGCUCUUUCCUCCAAGGACUGUGGACUGACAAGGACAGAAGAGCUACAGGUACUGCGCCUUUUGCAAGGGGUGGAAAACAGGCCAUCUCCUGGAUGCUACACUUCCCAGACGAACUUGUACCCCCCAGAAAAGCAAGAGGAGUUUCCUGCCUAG